rnacentral:lncRNA from 1 species
CCAAUCCACCUAGAGAAAUUUAGGUUCCUAGUCCUGACUCAACAGGACACAUAUCCACAAGCACUCUAUCACCACAGAGACUACAUUUCCCCCUGCAGUCCUGGCUCCCCUGCAGGAUCACCUUUCCUUUUCACAUUCACAUUGAGCAGAUGUCCAAAACCAUGGGUCUAUUUUCACUUCAUGAUGUAUCUUGUCCUAGAUUUCAGUUUCCAUGUGUUCAGAAGAAAGCUUUUCAUUGAUGCACCCAACUAGGCAGUGGUGUUACUGCCAUGUAUGAUGGGCUCAGGAUGAUAGAAUUAGUCAGCUAAAGGCCCUGGAUCUGAGUGAGGUCACCAUGUCCUACUCCAGUCCUGAGCGCCUCCCAGCUCUGCUGGAGAAAGUGCAGCCACCCUCCAGGGGUUGUACUUAGAGCAAUGUGGAAUCAGGGACUCCCACCUCAAAGCCAUUCUGCCUGCCCUGGGCCGCUGCUUCCAGUUCAUGUCCUUCAGUCUGUGUGGGAACCUUCUCUCCAUGACCAUCAUGAAGAAGCUGCUGGACAGACCUUCAGGUUGCCCAGCUGAAGGUGCUCAGACCCCACAUGCUGUGAAGAACUCAGCUGGUGUCUCCAGAGCAGGAAGAUCCUGCGUCUCUUCUCCAGUGCUCCAGACUGCUAUAAGCCUUUCUGUUUCCAUCAUCCUUCUGUCCCACUACUAGCCCAGCCAGAAAGGGACACCUGAUUAAAGAGUCCGUUGGAUUGACCCUGAUUGGAUUGUCAUUUUUCUCUAGAUUAAUUGAUUGAAUCAGAUAUACAUUCAGGAAGCAGAGAAUGAUGGGGUGGCUGGGUAAUCAAGAAUCCAUUCACUGANNNNNNNNNNNGCUAUUCUGAGUGAUACUAAGGUAGUAAAAGAGGGCUGCCCUGUGGCUCAGUGGUACAGAAUCUUCCUUUCAAUGCAGGGGCACGGGUUUGAUCCCUGCUCAGCGAAGACGCCCUCUAGAGCCCAUGCUCCUCAACAGGCAGAGGCACUGCAAUGAGAAGCCUGUGUACCAACAGUAGAGAGGCGCCCCCCAGUGGCCUCAACUAGAGAAAAGCAUGUUGCUGCUACUGCUGCUAAGUUGCUUCAGUCUUGUCCGACUCUGUGCGACCCCGUAGAC